AAACCAAGGAAUUUAGUCAUUUUUUUUGGUAAAAAGACAGUUAGGCAGAAUAAGAUCAUUGGACCUUUAGUACAGGGGUAAAAUCUAAAUACUAAAAGUUAUAUCAGGUGUGAUUUAUUUAAGACGCUGAAUCUGUGACAACUUUAAGGGAAACUGGGAUUGGAUACCCCAUUAUUUUUAGUAGUAAAUUUAAUCUAGAUUUACCAGAGUACUACGAAUAAAAAAUUUAAAACUCAAAGAGCUUGGCGGUGUUUUAGACCUCUCAGGGGAACCUGUCUCAUAAUCGACAAUCCGCGCUAAACCCGACCCUCUGUAGCAGUUCAGCCUGUAUACCGUUGUCGUCAGGUAACUUCUUAAAAUAUAGUAGUUAGCUCGAGAAUCUUAUUAAUUAGUACGUCAAAUCAAGGUGCAGCUAAUAAGAGGGAGAGGAUGGGUUACAAUUAUAUAUUUAUAAUUACGAAAAACAUCUUAAAUAAAAUGCUGGAAGGAGGACUUGAAAGUAAUUUUGAUUAUAUAAAUAGAAUGAAUAAGGCUCUGAAACGUG
rnacentral:rRNA from 1 species